rnacentral:rRNA from 1 species
CAUGCAGGCGGUCGGACGCGUUUCCAGUGACAGCGGGUGGCUUAACUACCCGAGGGUUGGAAAGACGGUGCGACUUGAGUGCUCGAGAGGGACACGGAAUUCCGGGUGGAGUGGUGAAAUGCGUAGAGAUCCGGAGGAACAUCAAAGGCGAAGGCAGUGUCCUGGCGAGUGACUGACGCUGAGGUGCGAAAGCCAGGGGAGCGAACGGGAUUAGAUACCCCGGUAGUCCUGGCCGUAAACGAUGACCACCAGGUGUGGGAGGUAUCGACCCCUUCUGUGCCGGAGUUAACACACUAAGUGGUCCGCCUGGGGAGUACGGUCGCAAGAUUAAA